rnacentral:rRNA from 1 species
CCUACGGGUGGCUGCAGUGGGGAAUAUUGGACAAUGGGGGGAACCCUGAUCCAGCCAUGCCGCGUGUGUGAAGAAGGCCCUCGGGUUGUAAAGCACUUUCAGUGAGGAAGAACGCCUGGUGGUUAAUACCCAUCAGGAAAGACAUCACUCACAGAAGAAGCACCGGCUAACUCCGUGCCAGCAGCCGCGGUAAUACGGAGGUUGCGAGCGUUAAUCGGAAUUACUGGGCGUAAAGCGCGCGUAGGUGGCCUGAUAAGCCGGUUGUGAAAGCCCCGGGCUCAACCUGGGAACGGCAUCCGGAACUGUCAAGCUUGAGUGCAGGAGAGGAAGGUAGAAUUCCCGGUGUAGCGGUGAAAUGCGUAGAGAUCGGGAGGAAUACCAGUGGCGAAGGCGGCCUUCUGGACUGACACUGACACUGAGGUGCGAAAGCGUGGGUAGCAAACAGGAUUAGAUACCCCGGUAGUC